rnacentral:rRNA from 1 species
AGCGAACGCUGGCGGCAGGCUUAACACAUGCAAGUCGAGCGGGCGUAGCAAUACGUCAGCGGCAGACGGGUGAGUAACGCGUGGGAACAUACCUUUUGGUUCGGAACAACACAGGGAAACUUGUGCUAAUACCGGAUAAGCCCUUACGGGGAAAGAUUUAUCGCCGAAAGAUUGGCCCGCGCCUGAUUAGCUUGUUGGUGAGGUAACGGCUCACCAAGGCGACGAUCAGUAGCNGGUCUGAGAGGAUGAUCAGCCACAUUGGGACUGAGACACGGCCCAAACUCCUACGGGAGGCAGCAGUGGGGAAUAUUGGACAAUGGGCGCAAGCCUGAUCCAGCCAUGCCGCGUGAGUGAUGAAGGCCCUAGGGUUGUAAACCUCUUUCAGCAGGGACGAAGCCCUUUGGGUGACGGUACCUGCAGAAGAAGCCCCGGCCAACUACGUGCCAGCCGCCGCGGUAAC